AUCUAAUAUGGCAGAUAAAUGCCUUAAAUUUAAGAUUUACUUAUGAAUUUUUAUUCUAUUAGA
rnacentral:tRNA from 1 species